GGGCUGCAAAGUAUGACCUUUUAGAGGCUACAAACACGCAUGUCCUACUAUGCACUGCUGCUUGGGACUUACAGAAAUGGACCAAAAAAGAGGGGAUGAGGAAACUGCUCAUUCAUAUGUAGAAUCUCAGUCCAAUAAUUGUGGGCAUCCUCCUGUGUGGACAGUAUUAAGCAAUCAUAUAUAUCCUAUGCUGAAGAUUCACAGACUAAUUAUUUUACAGUAAUUGUUUCCUGAUUGCAAACAUAUAGAGGAAAAAAGAAAUGAUUUGCAUGUUUCCUGUUGUAACAGCAGAAUGAAGCAUCCACUGGGGAGUUCCUGUAUCCUGUCUGGAAAAGAAGCCUGUGGAAAGAUCUCUCCAACGUGCACAGUGCUGGAGCAGCGCAUUUGCCACAGAGUUCUAGGUGGUUUCAUGAGUCACUUGUGAAGUACUGUUCUGGGCAAGCAGAAACUCUGAGUUUUUUAAAUAGGAUUGCACUGGAGGACUUCAGUGGGUACUUACCCUGCCAAGGUAAUCACAGUGUGGGCCUACAAAAAGCACCUCCAGGGUUCUGAAAUAAAAGUACUGUCAGGAGUGGUCUCCCUUCUCUGCCUCGCUGCUGUUUGGCGACAGGGGCUACUGCUAGAAACCAGCCCCACGGCUGUCUGGGAGGUCGCACACAGCCCACGUGUGAGCAGUGUCACAGGGACGCCCCAGACACAGGCAAGAAGUCUUCCAAGGAGCCCUGACUCCCACUGCAUGGGGGGGCUUUGCUCUGUCACUAGUGAAGGAUGUGGAGGGGAAACCCCUGGAAGCAAUACAUCAAAUCAGAACACAUCAGAAACGUAUCUCAGAUUACAUCUGCAGUAAUGGGAAAUCCAUAUGGAAAAUCAAGCUAACUGAUAAAUAUUUGUUAGAUACUCAUUGAAAAUGACUGCACUUUUUUUGUCACAACAUAAAAAUGUGUGUUUCUUGGAUUUAUUUGAUGGGUAGGAAUUGCAGUGCUGAGUGAAGGUACAUAUUUGUCUAUUUGAUCAGAUUUGCCUUGGUAAGAUGCUGUGGUGAAAUGUUUGGCAUCUCUCCAAAGAGCUUUAACAAGUGGACAUGUUUUGUCCAGGCCUUGGAAUGUGUUUUGAAUUGUUGUUUGUUUUGGAAAUGUCAAUGUAUGAACGUCUCAAAAACAUUGAUUUUUAUCUAUUUGUUUACAUUUAUGCAACUUCAAAUGCCUUAAAUAUAAUAUAGCCUUAGUAUCGACUUUUCAAAUUAAGUAAGGAGAAUUGCAGAAAUAUUAAAUACAAUUUUCACAUUUUAUUAGCAUUAUUUGGAAGCGUUCUGUUUAACACACAAGUAGUUUCACACAAUUCCUUGGUAUGCCUGUUCUGUGAGAUCCAAUGCAUUCCAGGAGCAUCAUGCUGUGUGUAACGGUCAUUAACCUCUGAGGAAAAAACCCAAAUCUUUAGAUGUAUCCCACACAGUUCAAACAUAAUGCCUAAUUUAGGACAUAGCUAGAAGGGGAAAUUGCAAAUAGAAAUGUAUUGAUUUUUUGUUGUUGGCACUGUCUCCCUGCAGCCAUUGGGAGGGUGACCCUGGGACUUUAUACCAGAUACUUCAGAUGUAUUCCCCAUUGGUGUGUUUGUCUUCUAGAUGUGCUGAGCUCAUCUAGCAAAUCUUGAAUUCUGGUCACUCUGAUCAGUCAGAGUUUAGUAGGAGAGAAUACAGUACUGGGAUGAGCUGCAGAUGGAAGGUGUGAGUUUGCCACAGGCAAGAAUGAACUUUAUUCAUAAGCAAUUUUUUUUAGAUUAUUUUUGAGUUCUAAUAAAUGAUACUUUUUUCGUAGUUCACGCUCUUAUCUUUAGUGACUGGAUAAAGUAAAACAGUUAGGAAAUUUCAAAAAUACUGUGCUAAGUGGAUCCUGUUGCUGUAUGUAUCCCUAUUUGGACACCAAAAUGGUGGAUGUUCAGUUCUGCUGUGCAAAAUGACUAUGAAACUGCGUGGAUAUCUCUUGGGUAACUGUGAUUUGCAUGCACAGCUAAUCUUUCCUAAUUACCUUCCCUGAAAACUAAUGCUAAGAUCUUAGCAAUCUGAAAUCUUUUGCUCAUGUAUUUCUGACAAGUGAGAAAGGUGAUGUAGGUCGAACUAUGGCUUACAUUGCAUUUUUAUGGCUCUGAUUUUCUCCUGAACGCUUUUAGAGGAGUCGGUAACUGAGGCUGUAGCCAGUCCUGGUGAUGAUGCAGCAGAAGGGACGGAGUUUAGCUGCUGGCUCCUGGUUCUGUGAACUUUGCAGUGCUGGCAGGAACAAAAAGCAGUAAAAACUUGCCUGUCACUGAAGUCAGCAGCUAUCACAAUGAAUGCAAACAGGGGGCAAAUCUGCUGAGUAAGAAGAUGCCUUCUCUACAUCGUAACUUUAGAACUCUGAACAGACAAAAAAGAGCUUAGAAACCACAUUUCCAAACUGGCUGCCAGCGUGGUGUAAAAUCAGGGGUGAAGCUGAAAGCUUAAAUUAUAACAGCAGCUUUUGAUUUGAUGACAUCUCUGACAUCUCCCAAACAAAUCAUGUAUGGGAUGUUGAUACCCUGAUUCUCAAGCCAUAUGUUUGCAGUUUAGGUUCCAUUUUGGCAAGCUACACUUUGGACUUGGGGCAGAUGUAAACUCAUGGCUGCCUUCCGGUGAAGCGUGGCUCAUCCUCGGCAGCAGCAUGCUGCCCUGUGCAGCCAUCUGGAAAUGGUUUUAUCGGUGCUGCGAAAAGGGGGCUGUGAGGACCGCUGAUACAAUGGCACUCCAGUCGUGCUCUGCUCCCAUCCUUGCCUUCAGCGGUCGGACUGUGAGCACGGGAAGGCCAUUUCCGUGGGCUCACAGGGAUGCUCUGCAGCACCUGGACGUCGCUGCACCUGUGUCGGGCACCGCAGGCCUGGGCCAGAGCUGCACGCGUGCCCCAGGCCCCAUUUCCAACUACUCCACUCCUCACCAACCCUCUCUCGUUGCUAACAGUAGAGUAGCUCAGUAGUCUCGCCCCGCUCCCCCGACGGCGGGCCCGGCCGGCAGCUCCCUCCCCGGCCCCAG